UCCCGCUUAGCUCAGUUGGUAGAGCGCGUCACUAGUACCUUCGGCAGGCAAUGACGAGGUCAGUCGUUCAAAUCGGCUAGCGGGAA